GGUAAUAUUAGCUCAGUGGUGGAGUGUGUGCUUAGCAUGCACAGGGUCCUGGGUUCAACCCCUAGUACCUCCA
rnacentral:tRNA from 1 species